UACUCCCCCCCCUGUGUCGCCCUUCGCCCUCCCCCACCGACCUGCAUAACGCGAAGAACCUUACCUAGGCUUGACAUGCACUGUGUCUACGGUGAAAGCCGUAUAGUGUGGCAAUACACGCUUUGCACAGGUGCUGCAUGGCUGUCGUCAGCUCGUGUCGUGAGAUGUUGGGUUAACGUCCCGCAACGAGCGACCAACCCCCUGUGAUUUGUUCGCCACCGGAGCAAGUCCGGGCACUCGAAUCAGACUCGCCCAGAUCAACGUGGGAGGAAGGUGGGGAUGACGUCAAGUCCGUAUGGCCCUUACGCCUAGGGCUGCACACGUACUACAAUGCCCAGUACAAUGUGAACCGAGACCGCGAGGUGGAGGAAAUCAAUAAAACUGGGCCCAGUUCAGAUUGUAGGCUGCAACUCGCCUACAUGAAGUCGGAAUCGCUAGUAAUGGCGCAUCAGCAACGGCGCCGUGAAUACGUUCCCGGGUCUUGUACACACCG
rnacentral:rRNA from 1 species